rnacentral:rRNA from 1 species
GUCCUUCACUUUGCAGGUGCGUUCUCGGUGGUGCGGGUAAGUGAGGAAAUUAAACAGAAGAAAGGAAAAUAGAAGGUGAACCAAAUAGAGGGGCACGGUCGGGUAGCAGAGGACGGAAGUGCGUGCAUUUGCAUGUCCGUGUUCAUGUGCUUCCCUCUCGGUGUGGUUACUUACUUAGUGGGAGGGAACUUGAGAGAAUUAGAGAGUUGGCAAAGAGUUAGGUGACGGGAGAACGAAGGAGAAGGACAGGUCUUUGAGAGAAUUUUUCUACUACGAGGUACCUGCGACACGAACUAGGGCCACUACGUGCGGUAGAAGUAGGUUUGGGAACGCGCCAACGCGGUCCAAGAAGAGGUGGUACAGUACUUAGGUAAGUCCCUUCUACUUCAAGCAUGGCAGCUGACAUGUACUUCUUAAGACGUACAUGCAGAUGUGACAAGCAGCUCAAGUAGCGUGGCAAGGUAGUUUGAGCUCAAGGUACUUCUGCUUCCACUACUGAUACUGUUGAUACCGCUAGGCAUCCUCACUCCAGUGCACCUGAUGUAGCUGACGGACACCGACUCUACCUCAGUGAUGUGUAACAUGAAAGGCGAUAAAAAGACUUACAUUAUUCACAGUACUCGGUAAAUAGAUCCAUACGGAACCCCGUUCUAUAUAAAUUUAAACAUUAUGGAAAAUGUAUAACACGUUACUAUAGUAAAGCGACACAACAUUUGUUACUAGGACCCCAAAUGUUUAUAUGUGUCCUCCCAGACCUUCAAUUAAGGUCUAAGAGUGUUG